AACCUCCCUUUUCUCCUCCCUUUCAGGCAGAAAAAACCAUCAAACUUGCCCCAUAUUUUCCAAGAGCUUUGGCGUUGCAACAGCUGAAGACAAUAAGGGCCCCCUUGGUCCUGCCUGUGGCGUGGAUUUCCCUCAGCGCUGGGCAGGAAAGGUGAGAGUUUGCAUCAGGAAUUCUGCAAGCAGAGCAGAUUGUAUGACUGUGGGCUGUUUCUCAUAUGUACAUCAGCAAGCCAAAAUCAAGAGUGAAGAUGUUGGAACUGCCUCUCUGGAUGUGUGCUGAGACCUCUCGCUGCUGCUGUGGACUGUGCGGCCUUAAUUGUUGUAGGUUACUGUUCUUCUCGCUGGGGAAUUGGGAAUAAAUAUCAAGUAGUACGCAGAGCUUUUUUCUGUAACCUUUCCCUUUUUGCUGCCUUCCAAUGGUAGAUCUUUUCUUCCUGCCUUGGUGUUUACAGCAAUUCUGCGAUGUCAUUUCACUGACCUCAAUUCCUUGCAGCUCCUGGGGCAGAGAGAAGUGUCUGCUGUGGCCGAGGUGGGAAAAUGAUACUAUGUGUCCCACUGCCUUAAUAUGUAGAACUUCUCUUUCUGUCUUAGAGGGUAGACUGAAUUGAUCCUUUUUCCACAGAGAGCAGGAAGCUGAACUGACCUGAAUUCCUGAAUCCAACUUUAGGUAGUUGAGUUUUCUUAAAGAAAAUAAAC